AUAAUUCCCCGCAUUAAUAGAUCAUCUGUGAUCUUCCUAAUCUGAAGGCGCUCGGCAUAUGCAAAGCGUCGCGGCGCAAAUGCAUAGAUCGAAGGAUCACAUGCUCGUGAUUUUAGUCGUGGGACAGCUCUAAUCUGCUGUCGGCUGGUUCUGCGACGAUCGCCACGACGUCAUCGCUCGACGCCGCGGACGAAACAGCUGCUGCUGUAUAGCCCGUCGCGUGACGCGCCUGCAGCGUCGGCUUCCCGUCGCCCUUGCUCUUAAGCACGGGGCAAUCAAACUGACGGUGACCCUUUGCUUUGCAAUAGAAACAGGGCCAGUCAAGACCCGAUCACAUCGCCCGUCUGGAUCUCGUACCAUUGACGAGCGAAUUUCGUCAAUUUACUGGACGCGGCCAGCAACGUGAUCCCGUCGGAAGCGCCAUGAAUGACGGCGACUUGGUCGACCCGUCUCGACCACACGGCAACGUUUUCGUCUUCACCGCCACUAAACUCCGGAAUCUGAGAGGCCAGCCAACUAACCGCAUUUCCCGCCGGUAAGGGCUACCUGGGUCUGCCUCUCCGUCUGAUUGGACCACCUGGACGUUUCCCGCCCUCGGCGCCAGCUGCUGUAGUAUCUGCAGCAUGAACUGCUGGUUCUGCUGCUGAAGCUCCUGCUGUUGCUUCUGCAUCUCCUGCUGUUGCCUCAUCAUCGUCGCUGAGAUGUCCGACAUUGCCUGACGGAACAUCUCCGAGGUCAACGGCUCCGCUACUACUGUUCGCCUUGCAGACGAUGCUACUGGGACGUGGACCUCACCAACUGCCUGUUGUUCGUCUAACGUCCUCUCCGACGGCCCAACCCUCUCAAGACUCGAAGAGCCUUUUUCGACUUCGGCACGACACGGCAGCGAUUUUAAAUCGUUUUCGACACGUUGCGGACUUGAAAAGCCCUUUUUUAAUCUCGGCACGACACGGCAAUAAUUUUUAAAUGUAUUUCGACACGACACGGCUCAAGGAUAGUGUUAUCCCACUUCUGAGCUGUAA